UUCCUACGGGACGCAGCAGCCGCGGUAAUACGGAGGAUCCGAGCGUUAUCCGGAUUUAUUGGGUUUAAAGGGUGCGUAGGCGGUUUGAUAAGUUAGAGGUGAAAUGUCGGGGCUCAACCCCGAAACUGCCUCUAAUACUGUUGGACUAGAGAAUAGUUGCGGUAGGCGGAAUGUAUGGUGUAGCGGUGAAAUGCUUAGAGAUCAUACAGAACACCGAUUGCGAAGGCAGCUUACCAAACUAUAUCUGACGUUGAGGCACGAAAGCGUGGGUAGCAAACAGGAUUAGAUACCCGAGUAGUCCAUAG
rnacentral:rRNA from 1 species